UAUAGAUUUUCCUCACAUUUUGGACACGCAUAGUGGGUGCGUUCUACUUGAUGCUUCACAAAACAAGCUACUGUUGAACAGGAGCGAUUGCAGCACAAUGCACCCGUUUAUAUGUAAAUACACCCCCAUCAAUGCGCCAACAUCGAGUACGAGCAGUGCUAUAAUGGUUACUCCAGUUUCGACGACAGCCAAUCCACAUCCAGGUGAAGCUUGGUUUAAUCAAAUGCUAA